CUGCCCAAUGAGGUUUUGAAUGGCCGCGGUAUUUUGACCGUGCAAAGGUAGCAUAAUCAUUAGUUUUUUAAUUGAAAGCUGGAAUGAAAGGUUGGAUGAAAAAAUAACUGUCUCUAUUCAAAUUAGUUAGAAUUUUAUUUUUAAGUAAAAAAGCUUAAAUAAUAAUAGAAGACGAGAAGACCCUAUAGAGUUUUAUUUAUUUAAUAUUAAAAAUAUUUUUGGAAUUAAUUUUAUUUUUAAUAUUAAUGAAUUUAGUUGGGGUGAUUUAAAAAUUAAAAAAACUUUUUUUGUAUUUAUAACAUUAAUUUAUGAUUAUUUGAUCCUUAUUUUAAGAUUAAAAGUAAAAAUUACCUUAGGGAUAACAGCGUAAUUUUUUUAAAGAGUUCAAAUCGAAAAAAAAGAUUGCGACCUCGAUGUUGGAUUAAAAUAAAAUUUUGGUGUAGAAGCUAAAAUAUUUAGGUCUGUUCGACCUUUAAAAUUUUACAUGAUCUGAGUUUAAACCGGUGU
rnacentral:rRNA from 1 species